GUGGCUUCAAAGUCUAAAUAGAUUCUACAAAAGUAAUUAAAAUUAAGAGUAAUGUUGUGACAUGUGCAGCUGGAAUGGAGGAAAACCUGUUUUAUAGCUUUUGAGCUGCUGGCAGGAUGAAAGUCUAACUCUGGAAUGAAGCACACCUAGGCUACAGUAAAGAGAGACGCACAGACGAUCAGACUGAGCUCAGACCAAACUAGCAGCUUCCUCUGAGUGAGUCCAGCUACAGGAAAGAAAAGUGGAAAACUCCAACACUGCUGCUUCAAGCUGCUGACGCUCCACACACUGAAUGUGAGUUUGAGCAAAAACACGACUCAAAGGAAGUUUCAGUGAAGGUGGUAGAGGAGGGAGGGGAGCCAGGACUGACUGUACUUCCUGUCUGCUGUUUUCAGCUUCACUCACAGACUCAAUGGCUUCCAGAUCAGAGGAGGAUCUCUGCUGUCCGGUCUGUCAGGAGGUCUUCAGAGAUCCUGUUCUUCUGUCAUGUAGCCACAGCUUCUGUAAAGACUGUCUGAAGAGAUGGUGGAGA